UGGUGUUGCAGCUCGCUUCAACUUCCAGACUACAGCCAGACCCCCUCUUGCACCUGCACCACAACCACGUGGGUGCAAGAGGACCUAUGAUGACGUCAAUCCCCAGGGUAUUUGCCGCCCAAACAACCCCGGACCAGCAAACAAGCGGAAAACAGUGGGACACGUGGGACAAGUGACUCAUUCUGCACAUUAGCCACGACGUGAGACGAAGAGGGCUUUGGAGGAUAUCUCAUAUAAGGUAGGUGGUGCAUCACUUCCCUGUAUGAAUGAUUUACUGUGGUAGUCUCAAGAUUCAAAGAUUCAAACUAUUUUUUGUUUCAUGCAACAGCCCGAACAGCCCAGGACCUGACAGGAGAGCCCCAAGAAGGAACAUCGACUCCCAGGAUGGACCGGAUGUUUCUAUUUUAAUGUUUUGUAUUUGUAUUGUAUUGUAUUGUAUUUUUUGUUUAAUCUUGUACUGUGAUGCAUUUGAAAUACAUCUUCCAUUUUAUUGUAUUAUGAAAUGAUCUUCCACUGUAUUGUAUUUCAUUUUCAUUGCCAUUGUAUGUUCUUGCAAUUACAUCAGCCAGUGUAUUUGCAAUAGAUCUUACAUGGCAUGGAAUUUGAAAUGCAUCUUCCAUUUUCUGUAUUAUAAAAAGAUCUUUCACUGUAUUGUAUUUCAAAUGCAUCUUCUAUUGUAUUGUAUUUUAUUGUUUUGUAUUGUUUUCAUCUGUCAUUGUAUUGUAUUGUAUUGUAUUGUAUUGUUUUCUUCUGUCAUUGUAUUGUAUUGUAUUGUAUUUACUUGUAAUUGUAUUUUUUGGUCCCCGCGACCCUAAUGGAUGGAUGGAUGGAUGUAUUUUAUUGGAAGAACAUCAGCCAUUGGCUGUCCAAUAAAUCUUAAAUUGUUCCCUGCACUAAAGUCUUUUCCUGUCUCUUGAUUAUUUUGUUUAAAAACACGUGUAUUAAACUUAAAGAUAUGCACAAGAUACAUGACGGUAAAAUCAAACCCUUAUUGGAAAUAUAUUAACAUUU